CCUACGGGAGGCAGCAGUGGGGAAUAUUGCACAAUGGGCGCAAGCCUGAUGCAGCAACGCCGCGUGAAGGAAGACGGUUUUCGGAUUGUAAACUUCUGUUCUUAGGGAGGAAUAAUGACGGUAGCUAAGCAGCAAGCCACGGCUAACGACGUGCCAGCAGCCGCGGUAAUACGGAGGUGGCAAGCGUUGUCCGGAAUUACUGGGGGUAAGGGGAGCGCAGGCGGGAAGCCAAGUCAGCUGUGAAAACUACGGGCUUAACUUGUAGACUGCAGUUGAAACUGGUUUUCUUGAGUGAAGUAGAGGUUGGCGGAAUUCCGAGUGUAGCGGUGAAAUGCGUAGAUAUUCGGAGGAACACCGGUGGCGAAGGCGGCCAACUGGGCUUUAACUGACGCUGAGGCGCGAAAGUGUGGGGAGCAAACAGGAUUAGAUACCCCAGUAGUC
rnacentral:rRNA from 1 species